AAUAUUGGACAAUGGGCGCAAGCCUGAUCCAGCCAUGCCGCGUGAGUGAAGAAGGCCCUAGGGUUGUAAAGCUCUUUCAGCGGGGACGAUAAUGACGGUACCCGCAGAAGAAGCCCCGGCUAACUUCGUGCCAGCAGCCGCGGUAAUACGAAGGGGGCUAGCGUUGUUCGGAAUUACUGGGCGUAAAGCGCGCGUAGGCGGGUCGCUAAGUCAGGGGUGAAAUGCCGGGGCUUAACCUCGGAACUGCCUUUGAUACUGGCGACCUGGAGUUCGGGAGAGGUGAGUGGAAUUCCGAGUGUAGAGGUGAAAUUCGUAGAUAUUCGGAGGAACACCAGAAGCGAAGGCGGCUCACUGGCCCGAUACUGACGCUGAGGCGCGAAAGCGUGGGGAGCAAACAGG
rnacentral:rRNA from 1 species